rnacentral:rRNA from 1 species
CAGCAGCCGCGGUAAUACGAAGGGUGCAAGCGUUACUCGGAAUUACUGGGCGUAAAGCGUGCGUAGGUGGUGGUUUAAGUCCGUUGUGAAAGCCCUGGGCUCAACCUGGGAAUUGCAGUGGAUACUGGGUCACUAGAGUGUGGUAGAGGAUAGUGGAAUUUCCGGUGUAGCAGUGAAAUGCGUAGAGAUCGGAAGGAACAUCUGUGGCGAAGGCGACUAUCUGGGCCAACACUGACACUGAGGCACGAAAGCGUGGGGAGCAAACAGGAUUAGAUACCCCUGUAGUCCCUGUCUCUUAUAA